rnacentral:rRNA from 1 species
UACGGAGGAUCCAAGCGUUAUCCGGAUUUAUUGGGUUUAAAGGGUGCGUAGGCGGCCUAUUAAGUCAGGGGUGAAAGACGGUAGCUUAACUAUCGCAGUGCCUUUGAUACUGAUGGGCUUGAAUACACUAGAGGUAGGCGGAAUGUGACAAGUAGCGGUGAAAUGCAUAGAUAUGUCUCAGAACACCGAUUGCGAAGGCAGCUUACUAUGGUCUUAUUGACGCUGAGGCACGAAAGCGUGGGGAUCAAACAGG